GCCUUCAUAGUAUAACGGUAGUACACUCGGUGAGUAGUUGAGAGGUUCAGGUUUGAAUCCUGGUGAGGGCA
rnacentral:tRNA from 1 species